rnacentral:rRNA from 1 species
AUUGAACGCUGGCGGCAGGCCUAACACAUGCAAGUCGAGCGGAUGAAGGGAGCUUGCUCCUGGAUUCAGCGGCGGACGGGUGAGUAAUGCCUAGGAAUCUGCCUGGUAGUGGGGGAUAACGUCCGGAAACGGGCGCUAAUACCGCAUACGUCCUGAGGGAGAAAGUGGGGGAUCUUCGGACCUUACGCUAUCAGAUGAGCCUAGGUCGGAUUAGCUAGUUGGUGGGGUAAAGGCCUACCAAGGCGACGAUCCGUAACUGGUCUGAGAGGAUGAUCAGUCACACUGGAACUGAGACACGGUCCAGACUCCUACGGGACGCAGCAGUGGGGAAUAUUGGACAAUGGGCGAAAGCCUGAUCCAGCCAGGCCGCGUGUGUGAAGAAGGUCUUCGGAUUGGGAAGCACUUUAAGUUGGGGGGAAGGGCAGUAAGUUAAUACCUUGCUGUUUUGACGUUACCAGCAGAAUAAGCACCGGCUAACUACGUG